UACGAAGGGGGCUAGCGUUGUUCGGAUUUACUGGGCGUAAAGCGCACGUAAGCGGAUCGUUAAGUCGGGGGUGAAAUCCUGGAGCUCAACUCCAGAACUGCCUUCGAUACUGGCGAUCUUGAGUCCGGAAGAGGUGAGUGGAACUCCUAGUGUAGAGGUGGAAUUCGUAGAUAUUAGGAAGAACACCAGUGGCGAAGGCGGCUCACUGGUCCGGUACUGACGCUGAGGUGCGAAAGCGUGGGGAGCAAACAGG
rnacentral:rRNA from 1 species